rnacentral:snoRNA from 1 species
ACCUUCUUGUUUAAGCUCUCUACUAAAAUUCCAGAAACUAGUAUCAUGUCUUAGCAUUUGUAAUAAAGCUAUCAGAGAAAAGCCAAGAAGAAAAAAGAACUGUACCAGAUAGAAAAAUUGAGUUGAACCUUUUUUUUUAGACGGAGUCUCACUCUGUCACCCAGGCUGGAGUGUAGUGG